UGGGUUGCAUUCAGGUGAUGUGGGGUAAUAUCCCACAAGUCUUA
rnacentral:tRNA from 1 species